rnacentral:rRNA from 1 species
UACGAAGGGUGCAAACGUUGCUCGGAAUCAUUGGGCGUAAAGCGCACGUAGGCGGCUUCGCAAGUCGGAUGUGAAAUCCCUCGGCUCAACCGAGGACGUGCAUCCGAAACUGCGGAGCUUGAGUACUGAAGAGGAUCGCGGAAUUCCCGGUGUAGAGGUGAAAUUCGUAGAUAUCGGGAGGAACACCAGUGGCGAAGGCGGCGAUCUGGGCAGAUACUGACGCUGAGGUGCGAAAGCGUGGGGAGCGAUCCGG